GCCCACAUAGCUCAGGCGGUAGAGCACUCCCUUGGUAAGGGAGAGGUCACUGGUUCGAAUCCAGUUGUGGGCACCA
rnacentral:tRNA from 1 species